UGCACUCCAGAGUGAAAGAAGAAAACAACAAAAAAAAAGGGGAAAAAAUAAUGGGGGUCUCGCAGUACUCAAACUUCCUACUUCCUUAUGCAAAUGUGCCGCAAUCUCAUCAUCAUCGGCAAGCAAAUGAGGUGCAGGUGGCAGUAAGUCCUGGCGUUCCCAUUCUUCAACAUCCAUACCCCACUCAAGAUGAUCUACACCUGCCAUUGCUAAUGCUUCUAUUGAAACUGGCAUGAUUACCUUUCUGUCAAAGCUUCAACACUAAUAUACGGUCUUAGUGAUGAUGAUGACGACGAUG
rnacentral:lncRNA from 1 species